UUCCGGUUGAUCCUGCCGGACCCGACCGCUAUCGGGGUAGGGCUAAGCCAUGGGAGUCGCACGCUCCCGGGUAAGGGGGCGUGGCGGACGGCUGAGUAACACGUGGCUAACCUACCCUCGGGAGGGGGAUAACCCCGGGAAACUGGGGAUAAUCCCCCAUAGGGAAGGAGUCCUGGAACGGUUCCUCCCCGAAAGGGUCAUGGGCUAAUCCCGUCCAUGACCGCCCGAGGAUGGGGCUGCGGCCCAUCAGGUUGUUGGCGGGGUAACGGCCCGCCAAGCCUAUAACGGGUAGGGGCCCUGGGAGGGGGAGCCCCCAGUUGGGCACUGAGACAAGGGCCCAGGCCCUACGGGGCGCACCAGGCGCGGAACGUCCCCAAUGCGGGAAACCGUGAGGGCGCUACCCCGAGUGCCCCCGAAAGGGGGCUUUUCCCCGCUCUAAAAAGGCGGGGGAAUAAGCGGGGGGCAAGUUCUGGUGUCAGCCGCCGCGGUAAUACCAGCUCCGCGAGUGGUCGGGACUCUUAUUGGGCCUAAAGCGCCCGUAGCCGGCCCGGUAAGUCAUCCCUUAAAGACCCCGGCUCAACC
rnacentral:rRNA from 1 species